ACGAACCCAAAGUUUCACAGUAGGAAGGGGGAAAAAAGAAAAGAAAACAUUUUUCCUAAUGUAACAAUGCGAAUGCUAGAAAAUGACAAGACUGAUCGGUUUUAAACCAUUCUGAGACUGACUGAGCGUGGAAGUUGCUCAACAAAAAAAGGAACGGGUAUAUUGGUCACAGAAUCACAACUCCAUUCAGGUCGGCUCUGCGAAAUGCUGUGAAGAAGCAGCAGCUGUUCUUGGAUUCUUUGCUGAGACAGAAGGAAACGCACUUCUUUAGAGGAGGAUGACAUUUUCUACGUCGCUUCCUAUCCCUGUCACUGAACUUCCUGAAUCCUGGCUCCAGACACCAUCAAGAGGACCUUCUGGAUGGCCUACCUAUCCCCUGAGAGAGGAGGAACAUCAACUGUGGUUUCUAACUAGACUGCCUUCUUCAUUUCAAGUAAUGGCUGCCAUCAGGGUCAGAUUAAAGACAGACCAGUUGGACCACUGCUUGGAGGACUAACCUAUAAGGGCACCAAAAUGACCACAGAGUGCUAAAACAUCCACAGAAAUAUACAGAGAGGAAAACAAUACUAGCACUUAUUUUAGUGAGAAUUCUGUGUGGAAUUGAAAGGAAUGGUUUGAUAAAUUCCUUAGGGGUAGAAAGUAAGGCAUAAUCAAAUAUAGAGGAGCAUGGGGUUGUUUUACUACAGGGCUCCUAUUUUGUCCUACUCAGAUAUAUAAUUUGGGUGCCCCAUCUGGAUUGUUUGUGACCAUGGAGGGUAGGCAGACACCCCCACUGGUCCUCCUGCUUGGUUCUUCCCACACAGAGCUCAGCUUGUCCUUGAAUAAAGAUCUGGCAAGUAGUGGUUUGAAGGAAACACCAAUUUAUUUAUUAGCCUACAUGUCUCGACAUUCUAGGGCUUGAAAAUGAAAACAUAAUCAGACUAUCUUCCAGUUCUAGGAUGUUAGCCCUUAGUAUGUCUUCAUUCACUUGAGGGCAAAGAUGAACCAACACAGUAGAUCAAGUCAAAUGGAGCCUGAAUUCCCUGCUUAUGGGCUGGGUGAUCAGCCUCUGUGUCAAGUUAAUUUGAUCAGUGGAGACACUAGGUAGAGUUGAGAUCUUUAAAAAUAUUUGGCUGAAGGGUGACAUUAUUGAUUAUUCAUAGAUGAAGAUGUCAAGGAACAUUCAUAGAAUCAUGAAAUAUGGAACUGCUGGUCACAUUAAAAAAAUUCAACAAAUAGUUAAGUAUCUACUGGGCACUGGAGAUAGGUGUAAGAUAGAUAUGGUUCCAGGGC